AUAUAGGUCAAGCUACAAAGGGCGCAUGGUGAAUGCCUUGGCAUCAGGAGCCGAUGAAGGACGUGAUAAGCUGCGAUAAGCUUCGGGUAGGCGCACAUAGCCUGAGAUCCGAAGAUCUCCGAAUGAGGAAACUCACAUGGGAAACCCCAUGUAUCAUUAAGUGAAUACAUAGCUUAAUGAAGGUAACCCAGGGAACUGAAACAUCUAAGUACCUGGAGGAAGAGAAAGAAAAAUCGAUUUUCUUAGUAGCGGCGAGCGAAAGGGAAAGAGCCCAAACCGGAAACUUGUUUCCGGGGUUGAGGACAUAACAUAAAGAGAAGUAAUGGCUAAUUGAAGAGAACUGGAAAGUUCCACCGUAGAAGGUAAUAGUCCUGUAAAUGAAAGCUAGUAUAAUCGAGUUAUGAUCCAGAGUACCACGAGACACGUGAAACCUUGUGGGAAGCAGGGAGGACCACCUCCCAAGGCUAAAUACUACCUGAUGACCGAUAGUGAAGCAGUACCGUGAGGGAAAGGUGAAAAGAACCCCGGGAGGGGAGUGAAAUAGAACCUGAAACCGUGUGCCUACAACCGCUCAGAGCCCCUUAUGAGGGUGAUGAGGUGCUUUUUGUAGAACGAGCCAACGAGUUACGGUAUGUAGCAAGGUUAAGUACUUAAGGUACGGAGCCGAAGGGAAACCGAGUCUGAAUAGGGCGACUAGUUGCAUGCCGUAGACCCGAAACCGGGUGACCUAUCCAUGGCCAGGUUGAAGCGAGGGUAAAACCUCGUGGAGGACCGAACCACGUUGCUGUUGAAAAAGCAUGGGAUGAGCUGUGGAUAGCGGAGAAAUUCCAAUCGAACCCGGAGAUAGCUGGUUCUCUCCGAAAUAGCUUUAGGGCUAGCGUCGAGUAUGAGUAGUGGAGGUAGAGCACUGAAUGGGCUAGGGGGCAUAGCGCUUACCGAACCUUAUCAAACUCCGAAUGCCACAUACUUUGAGCUCGGCAGUCAGACUACGAAUGAUAAGAUCCGUGGUCAAAAGGGAAACAGCCCAGAUCGUCAGCUAAGGUCCCAAAGUGUAAGUUAAGUGGGAAAGGAUGUGAGAUUUCUAAGACAACUAGGAUGUUGGCUUAGAAGCAGCCAUUCAUUAAAAGAGUGCGUAAUAGCUCACUAGUCGAGAGAUCUUGCGCCGAAAAUGUAACGGGGCUAAACUUACCACCGAAGCUACGGGCUUGAACUUAGUUCAAGCGGUAGGAGAGCGUCGUAACCGGGCUGAAGUCGUACCGUAAGGAGCGGUGGACUGGUUACGAGUGAGAAUGUUGGCAUCAGUAGCGAGAUGUGGGUGAGAAUCCCACAGGCCGAAAACCUAAGGUUUCCUCAGGAAGGUUCGUCCGCUGAGGGUUAGUCGGGACCUAAGCCGAGGCCGAAAGGCGUAGGUGAUGGACAACUGGUUGAUAUUCCAGUACCACUACCAUCGUUAUUAUCGAUGGCGUGACGCAGGAGGAUAGUGUGUGCUAGCUAUUGGAUGCUAGUCUAAGCGUUUAGGCAGUGAGAGUAGGCAAAUCCGCUCUCAUAAUGCUGAGGCGUGAUGGGGAAGGUUCUACGGAACCGAAGUACAUGAUUCCACGCUGCCAAGAAAAGCGUCUAGAGAGAGAAGUAGUGCCCGUACCGCAAACCGACACAGGUAGGUGAGGAGAGAAUCCUAAGGCCGGCGGAAGAAGAAUUACAGUUAAGGAACUCGGCAAAUUGACCCCGUAAGUUCGCGAGAAGGGGUGCCUACGAGAGUAGGCCGCAGAGAAUAGGCCCAAGCAACUGUUUAGCAAAAACACAGGUCUCUGCUAAAGCGUAAGCUGAUGUAUAGGGGCUGACGCCUGCCCGGUGCUGGAAGGUUAAGGGGAACACUUAGCGCAAGCGAAGGUGUGAACUUAAGCCCCAGUAAACGGCGGCCGUAACUAUAACGGUCCUAAGGUAGCGAAAUUCCUUGUCAGGUAAGUUCUGACCCGCACGAAUGGCGUAAUGACUUGGGCACUGUCUCAACUGUAAAUCCGGCGAAGUUGUAGUGCGAGUGAAGAUGCUCGCUACCCGCGAUUGGACGGAAAGACCCCGUAGAGCUUUACUGUAGCUUAGCAUUGAGUUUUGGUAUUGUCUGUACAGGAUAGGUGGGAGACUAGGAAACCAGGGCGUCAGCCUUGGUGGAGUCAACCUUGGGAUACCACCCUGACAGUACUGAAAUUCUAACUGGCGGCCAUGAAUCUGGUCACAGGACAUUGUUAGGUGGGCAGUUUGACUGGGGCGGUCGCCUCCUAAAAAGUAACGGAGGCGCCCAAAGGUUCCCUCAGAACGGUCGGAAAUCGUUCGAAGAGUGCAAAGGCAGAAGGGAGCCUGACUGCGACACCCACAAGUGGAGCAGGGACGAAAGUCGGGCUUAGUGAUCCGGUGGUACCUCGUGGGAGGGCCAUCGCUCAACGGAUAAAAGCUACCUCGGGGAUAACAGGCUGAUCUCCCCAAGAGUCCACAUCGACGGGGAGGUUUGGCACCUCGAUGUCGGCUCGUCGCAUCCUGGGGCUGAAGUAGGUCCCAAGGGGUUGGGCUGUUCGCCCAUUAAAGCGGCACGCGAGCUGGGUUCAGAACGUCGUGAGACAGUUCGGUCCCUAUCCGUCGCGGGCGUAGGAAAUUUGAGAGGAGCUGUCCUUAGUACGAGAGGACCGGGAUGGACUGACCUCUGGUGCACCAGUUGUUCCGCCAGGAGCACAGCUGGGUAGCUAAGUCGGGAAUGGAUAAACGCUGAAAGCAUCUAAGCGUGAAGCCAACCUCAAGAUGAGAUUUCCCAUAGCGUAAGCUAGUAAGAUCCCUUGAAGAACACAAGGUUGAUAGGUCGGGGGUGUAAGCAUGGUAACAUGUUCAGCUGACCGAUACUAAUAGAUCGAGGGCUUGACCAAAU
rnacentral:rRNA from 1 species